AUACAAUCAAAUCGGAAUUCACGAUUCAUGCAAUGUAUUUUACAAUUCCUAUAAGAGUUUGCUAAAAGUUCUUUGUACGCUUGAUCUAAUCGUUUUGUGAUUGUUUUAGAAAACGUUUAGUUACAAUCCUGGUUUAUGCGGGCAGUCCUUAUCGCAGCUGCCGAUUGUCGUUCGUCGAACGUCGCUGCUGGUACGGCACGUCCGGGAGUUGGAAAUAUUGCGUAUGAAAUAUCGCAUCUCAAUAUCUCCACAAACAUUGUUAAAACACUGAACCUGGCACCACUGAAACUAACGGUGUUUGUUUUGAUGCGCCGGCAAAAUUUUGUUUCGCAGCUGAAAAUCCUUCCGAUUUCAGCUAUCCCGCAGGUUUAGCAGAUACAAUUUGUACGCCAGGGCAUUCUUAUUUGCUGGAAGGCAAAAUCCAAAUGGAAUUAUUGUUCAACAGGUUGUGUUACCGGAACUUCUCAUAGUUUUGCUCCGUGGGAGAGAGAUCGUCUUCAGCUACGUACAAGGAUCGACUUUUUGGUCACUUGAUGAAAGGUGGAAAUAAAUGGCCCAUUAUUAUGGCGAUUUCAUCGAUGCAGAAUCUUUACGGACCACACACGGACAUGAAUGAUGCUGGCACUGAAACUAUCUACAGGAGGUGCUGUUCGACAGGGUGAUGCAAAAUGAAAAGGCCCAGCUGCAUGGAACAAGUUUUUUUUUAGUAACAUGAACUUAGUUAUUUAGUAAAAUAAUUAAAAUUAAAA